GACAGAGGGUGCAAGCGUUGUUCGGAUUUACUGGGCGUAGAGCGCGUGUAGGCGGCUUGGCAAGUCGGAUGUGAAAGCCCACGGCUCAACCGUGGAAGCGCAUCCGAAACGGCCUCGCUCGAGUCUCGGAGAGGAAGGUGGAAUGCUUGGUGUAGAGGUGAAAUUCGUAGAUAUCAAGCAGAACACCUGCGGCGAAGGCGGCCUUCUGGACGAUGACUGACGCUGAGGCACGAAGGCCAGGGGAGCAAACGGG
rnacentral:rRNA from 1 species